rnacentral:rRNA from 1 species
UACGGAGGGUGCAAGCGUUAUCCGGAUUCACUGGGUUUAAAGGGUGCGUAGGUGGGUCUGUAGGUCAGUGGUGAAAUCUUCGAGCUUAACUCGGAAACUGCCAUUGAUACUAUAGAUCUUGAAUUUUCUGGAGGUAAGCGGAAUAUGUCAUGUAGCGGUGAAAUGCUUAGAUAUGACAUAGAACACCAAUUGCGAAGGCAGCUUACUACGGGAACAUUGACACUGAGGCACGAAAGCGUGGGGAUCAAACAGG